rnacentral:rRNA from 1 species
GACGAACGCUGGCGGCGUGCCUAAUACAUGCAAGUAGGACGCAGUUGCGAACGGGUGAGUAACGCUUGGGAACCUGCCUAUUAGAGGGGGAUAACUAUUGGAAACGAUAGCUAAUACCGCAUACUAGUUGAUGGAUCUGCGUUGUAUUAGCUAGUGGGGGGGGUAAAGGCCUACCAGGGCGACGAUCCGGAACUGGUCUGAGAGGAUGAUCGGUCGCACUGGAACUGAGACACGGACCAUACUCCUACGGGAGGCAGCAGUCGGGAAUAUGGGACAAUGGGCGACAGCCUGAUCCAGCCGUGCCGCGUGUGUGAAGAAGGUCUUCGGAUUGUAAAGCACUUUAAGUUGGGAGGCGGUACCAACAGAAUAAGCACCGGCUAACUUCGUGCCAGCAGCCGCGGUAAUAC